CAAUAAAGGGGCGGCUGGAUAUGGGUGUGGAUGGAGCUUGGCUCACUCAGGCUGCGGUGUAGGAUGGAGCUGUAAGUGGGAAGGAAAGCAGGAAGAAGACCUACCCCCACCCCCAAAUGAAAAAGAAGACCCGCCGCCCAGAUGAAAAGCGCUAACCACAAGGACACGGACCCUGGACUGGCUGAAACCAGAAGGUUGACGAUGCUUGAAGCUACUCUCUUCUACUUCCCUCCAAAUUCCGUCUCCAUGUUUCUAUUCGGCACUGGUGAACACAGGCUGAGUUUCGGCAACAAGAGUAGGCAUAGACCUGGGACUUCUCACUCCAGGCAACUCCAGGGCAAAACACGAUUUCCCAGGAGCCUCCUCCCUCCUUCACGGUGACUGACGCAAAUGCCCCAUGUGGAUGAGAUCAGACAGACACUUCUCUCUACACUAUGUGCUUGUUCAUCUGAGGACCAGGGAAGGCCUUCUGGAGAAGGUGACUUCUAGCAAGUUCUAGGAGAGGAGAGAGUGAGCCAUGAGGGUCUCUGAGUGAAGGGCAUUCCCCCGGUGCACAGCCCUGAAAUGAGAGAAGCCCUGGAACAUGCAAGGACAAUGAGGUCAGGUGGGCUGGAGUUAGCUAGGAAGACAAGGCAGGAGCAGGCAUCACCAAUCAAUCACAGAACUCUUUGAUACUAAACCUCAGAAUCCUUCUCAGAUGAACAAAGUUGACACCCAAAAUGAAGCCUGUGUAUAGUUCCAGAGCUAGAACAAAAGCUGCCUCAUCAGAACUUCUAUUUUACUGAUGGAAAACCAGAGGCUCAGAGAGGUGGGGGGAAUUGUACCCUCUCACACAGUAAACUGAAAGAAUGGGGAAUCUGGGACCCAAGUCUCUUGAGUCUCAUCCAAAGAUGAGACCCU
ensembl:lncRNA